AUUGAACGCUGGCGGCAGGCCCAACACAUGCAAGUCGAACGGUAACAGGAAGCAGCUUGCUGCUUUGCUGACGAGUGGCGGACCGGUGAGUAAUGUCUGGGAAACUGCCUGAUGGAGGGGGAUAACUACUGGAAACGGUAGCUAAUACCGCAUAACGUCGCAAGACCAAAGAGGGGGACCUUCGGGCCUCUUGCCAUCGGAUGUGCCCAGAUGGGAUUAGCUAGUAGGUGGGGUAACGGCUCACCUAGGCGACGAUCCCUAGCUGGUCUGAGAGGAUGACCAGCCACACUGGAACUGAGACACGGUCCAGACUCCUACGGGAGGCAGCAGUGGUGAAUAUUGCACAAUGGGCGCAAGCCUGAUGCAGCCAUGCCGCGUGUAUGAAGAAGGCCUUCGGGUUGUAAAGUACUUUCAGCGGGGAGGAAGGGAGUAAAGUUAAUACCUUUGCUCAUUGACGUUACCCGCAGAAGAAGCACCGGCUAACUCCGUG
rnacentral:rRNA from 1 species